GAUGAACGCUAGCUACAGGCUUAACACAUGCAAGUCGAGGGGCAUCAGGAAGAAAGCUUGCUUUCUUUGCUGGCGACCGGCGCACGGGUGAGUAACACGUAUCCAACCUGCCCUUUACUCGGGGAUAGCCUUUCGAAAGAAAGAUUAAUACCCGAUGGCAUAAUGAUUCCGCAUGGUUUCAUUAUUAAAGGAUUCCGGUAAAGGAUGGGGAUGCGUUCCAUUAGGUUGUUGGUGAGGUAACGGCUCACCAAGCCUUCGAUGGAUAGGGGUUCUGAGAGGAAGGUCCCCCACAUUGGAACUGAGACACGGUCCAAACUCCUACGGGAGGCAGCAGUGAGGAAUAUUGGUCAAUGGGCGCUAGCCUGAACCAGCCAAGUAGCGUGAAGGAUGAAGGCUCUAUGGGUCGUAAACUUCUUUUAUAUAAGAAUAAAGUGCAGUAUGUAUACUGUUUUGUAUGUAUUAUAUGAAUAAGGAUCGGCUAACUCCGUGCCAGCAGCCGCGGUAAUACGGAGGAUCCGAGCGUUACCCGGAUUUAUUGGGUUUAAAGGGAGCGUAGGUGGACUGGUAAGUCAGUUGUGAAAGUUUGCGGCUCAACCGUAAAAUUGCAGUUGAUACUGUCAGUCUUGAGUACAGUAGAGGUGGGCGGAAUUCGUGGUGUAGCGGUGAAAUGCUUAGAUAUCACGAAGAACUCCGAUUGCGAAGGCAGCUCACUGGACUGCAACUGACACUGAUGCUCGAAAGUGUGGGUAUCAAACAGGAUUAGAUACCCUGGUAGUCCACACAGUAAACGAUGAAUACUCGCUGUUUGCGAUAUACAGUAAGCGGCCAAGCGAAAGCAUUAAGUAUUCCACCUGGGGAGUACGCCGGCAACGGUGAAACUCAAAGGAAUUGACGGGGGCCCGCACAAGCGGAGGAACAUGUGGUUUAAUUCGAUGAUACGCGAGGAACCUUACCCGGGCUUAAAUUGCAGUGGAAUGAUGUGGAAACAUGUCAGUGAGCAAUCACCGCUGUGAAGGUGCUGCAUGGUUGUCGUCAGCUCGUGCCGUGAGGUGUCGGCUUAAGUGCCAUAACGAGCGCAACCCUUAUCUUUAGUUACUAACAGGUUAUGCUGAGGACUCUAGAGAGACUGCCGUCGUAAGAUGUGAGGAAGGUGGGGAUGACGUCAAAUCAGCACGGCCCUUACGUCCGGGGCUACACACGUGUUACAAUGGGGGGUACAGAAGGCAGCUAGCGGGUGACCGUAUGCUAAUCCCAAAAUCCUCUCUCAGUUCGGAUCGAAGUCUGCAACCCGACUUCGUGAAGCUGGAUUCGCUAGUAAUCGCGCAUCAGCCACGGCGCGGUGAAUACGUUCCCGGGCCUUGUACACACCGCCCGUCAAGCCAUGGGAGCCGGGGGUACCUGAAGCACGUAACCGCAAGGAUCGUCCUAGGGUAAAACUGGUGACUGGGGCUA
rnacentral:rRNA from 1 species